GACGAACGCUGGCGGCGUGCUUAACACAUGCAAGUCGAACGGAAAGGCCCUGCUUUUGUGGGGUGCUCGAGUGGCGAACGGGUGAGUAACACGUGAGUAACCUGCCCUUGACUUUGGGAUAACUUCAGGAAACUGGGGCUAAUACCGGAUAGGAGCUCCUGCUGCAUGGUGGGGGUUGGAAAGUUUCGGCGGUUGGGGAUGGACUCGCGGCUUAUCAGCUUGUUGGUGGGGUAGUGGCUUACCAAGGCUUUGACGGGUAGCCGGCCUGAGAGGGUGACCGGCCACAUUGGGACUGAGAUACGGCCCAGACGCCUACGGGAGGCAGCAGUGGGGAAUAUUGCACAAUGGGCGGAAGCCUGAUGCAGCAACGCCGCGUGCGGGAUGACGGCCUUCGGGUUGUAAACCGCUUUCGCCGGUGACGAAGCGUGAGUGACGGUAAUGGGUAAAGAAGCACCGGCUAACUACGUG
rnacentral:rRNA from 1 species